GGCCUUUUCCUUCAGAAUCAGGGAAGGCAGGAAACCAGCAAAUCCUUGGGUCAGUUCUGUAUCAGACUAUGGAUCUCUAGGACCCUGAGCUCACAUCUCAAGGUGUCAUCUGACUGGCACCUCAGCUCUCACUGGCCACCCGAGUUCCCUGAGCCAGAGAUGGCUCUGGUAACCCCAUAGGCUAACCAGGUCUCCACGACAAGCCACAGACUGGACUGGAACCUGGCUGGCCCCACAAAACAGAAAAGCAUGGAAACAGAUAGUUGCCCUCGAAGUCACUAUGAAGCCUAGGCUGGCCUGGAACUCACAGUGCUCCUCCUGCCCCAGCCUCCUCACUGCUGAGAUUACAGGGUCUUGCUAUGUAGUUCAGGCUGAUCUUGAACUCAUUAUGCAGCCCAGGCGGUCCUGGAACUUACAAGGCUCCUACGGUCUCAGCUUCCCAAGUGCUGGGAUUACAG
rnacentral:lncRNA from 1 species